UCCAUUUUAAUUAACUGUAGAAGACUACACUGUAAUGGUUGUAAUAAUGUCAGGUGUUCCUCUAGCUUAACAGAAGAAGGUGUUAGCAAUGUCAUUAGUCAAGGGUUUGAUUCCUAAGGACCACACAUACUGAUACGAAUAUAUACUUUCUCCUCUACUACAAGUUGAUAUGGAUAUGGACUUAGCUGAUAAAGUAACAUACAUCUUAAAGUAACAUGCAUAUACUGUCCUUUUCAGAGCAUGUUUGCCAGGGCUGUCUGGGUGGAAAAUGGAAAAGAAAUAGAAGGCACACUUCCCAAUAAUUGGAUACACAUAAAUAACAAAACAGUUAAAUGGCCAAAAAAUAGAACAAAAGAAGCUUUCAGGAUGAAAAAAGACCCUCAGGAUGACUGGCUGAUAUUCCCAUUAAUUAAAAGAAAAAUGACUUCAGAUAAUAUUCAUGACUGCAAAAGCUAUAACUUGACCAGCCAAGCCGAAGAGGAAGAGGAGGUAGUGGUUGGUAGCAAGAGGAAAAGAGCGAAAAGAAAUUUUGACGACUAUGUCGUUGAUUCUGAUGAGUUGGAAGACGAGAGCAUGAUGGUAGGUAAGAAGCUUCCCCCCUUUCCCAUUGCACCAGCAAAGUUAAAGCCAGUUAUGAAUGAGGCAACUGUAAAGUCAACUUGUGAGUAUAUACACACACACACACACACACAAAACAUAAAAUGAAAGCAUUAACAGGUUUAUUUUCAUAUUUUUUACUCUAAAAUUCCAGACUUGUCCAGUCAGGCUAAGUUUGUCGGGGGCCUCGGGGCAGAUAAAUGUCCACAUCCAGUAAGUAUUUAUGUAUUGCAUUAAAUUAACCACUUUUUUUGUAUAAUAACUAAUCAUGUUAAAUCUAAGAACAUUCUUUGUGAAUUUUUCAGAUUUUUAACAUGAAAAACAUAAAUCUAGCAGUCCUAAACGCAGUGAUGGAUCCAGGCACAGUGUCUCAUCAGGACACAGUCACACAUCAAGGCACAGCGAGAGUUCUAGGCACAGUGUCACAUCAGGGUACAGUAAUGGAUCCAAACCCAGCUACAGGUCAGGUCACACAGUCAGAUCCAGGCACAGUGUUGGCUCAAGAUGAGAUAAGAUAGAUAACACUUUAUUAAUAAAAUGUGUUAUUACAAUUUAAUAUUAUUAAUUUAAUUACUUCCAUACCAAGUUGAUACUUACAUUUUUUUUUUUUUAUGUGAACAAUUUCAAUUCAGUUUUUGCAACGUUGAGCAAUGUGUACAGUCACAGAAAUGUAGUUUUGUUUGCUAUGAUGUAAACAGGUAAACAUUUAUUGGGCAGUAUUAUAAGAGUUUUCACUCAGUCAGUGAACAUGUGCUAUGGUUGAAGUGACAAAAAACAAACAAAAAAAGAUUCUUAAUAAAAAUAACAGGUCCAAUGAUGGGUCUAGAGACAAAACUGUCAGGUCCAGCAAGGAUAACAGCAUCAGGUCCAGGCACAGCAGUGGCACCAGGGAUGACAGCCACCGAUACAGCGAUGAUAGGGGCAGGGUCAGGCACAGCACCGUCACCAGGGAUGACAGCCUCCGAUACAGCGAUGAUGGUACUGGAGUUGCAGGGUCUCAGCGGUCAAACGAUAUAUUCCCAAUGCCCACUGCAAUCUGGAUACCCUCGUCUGUAACCUGCAAAGACAAAGAGACCCUUAUCUCAAGCUUAGUUUAA
ensembl:lncRNA